UAUUACAGCAUCUGAAGUGUGUGCAAUGCUCUGCAUUGUGUGCAGUAGUAUACUGUAAUUUAGGUGCAAUGUUUUGGGUCAAGCUUAAAGCUUCAGUGCGAUUGGUCAGUGAAGGACCAGGUGACUCGGUAGUCACGCGCUUUCCAACGAACCCGUCAGGAAGAAGAAAAACAAAACAAACGCAAGAGAAAGGCAGCGUGGACUCCAUUGAAAUUGCUUUGUUAUUGCUCAGAUAGGAAUAAACACGAAGCGAAACACGACACAAAACGUUCAUAUGGGGUUUCUAAAGACACCAGGCAUCAGACGAGAACUAGACUUCCAUGAGUUCACAGAGUUUUCCACAAUAAAGAAGACUCUUUUUGUUACUUAACUCAUAGAUUUUUCUACUAUCGGUUGACAUCAUCCGAAGACGACUGGGACACGAGGUGGAGGAAACAUUCACAAUAAGGAACAGAGAUCGGUGCUCGGCGAUGCCUCAGCCCGGCAUCAGUGGAAUGGAUCUUCCCUUUGGGGAUUUCUUUCAAAAUUAUACUUUUGCUGAUCAGGCGCUGACCAGCACGGACCUGUUGGCGAGUAACACAGACCCAGACUUCAUGUACGAACUGGACAGAGAAGUGACUGCUUGCCUAAGUCCUAGAGUUGAUCACUUCACGGUGGGGGACUGCAAGGAGAUGGAGUGUGGGGAGCACCUCAUGGAGCUGGUGGACAGCGAUCCGGCCUACAGCUCGAACUUUGAGCAGUGGGAUACGUACUGGGAGGACCUGACCAAGUACACCCGUUUCACCAGCUGUGACAUCUGGGGCACCAAGGAGGCAGGCCUGGAUGACUUCUCCAGCCCUUACCAAGACGAGGAGGUGAUUGCCCGGACCCCCACCUUGGCUCAGCUCAACAGCGAGGACUCGCAGCCCCCUGUGUGUGACACACUCUACCACCCUGAUCUGCUGAUAGGGGGCCAGAAGCAGCACACCUCCCUCCACCCACUCUCCCUGAGCAAGAAGACAGCCGCCCGCCCGGGCCCCUCCUCUUCCUGCUCCAACCUGGUCAAGAACCCCCUGGGCGACUUUGCCAAGGGUUCCCAGAAGGCCACCUGGCCUGUCCCCUCCAGCACAGAGACAAUGUCCAAGGCCCAGGGAACCAGCAAGAUGGCCACCCUGGGCUACCACUGCAAUGACUACGUGCGCAAGGCAAAGGUUCGCAUCAGCAUGCCCCACCGGCCUCUAGUCGACAUGCCCAUGGCCUCCCAUCAGGUUGAGGCUGAAAACCACUUCACAUACAGCAGCAAGCCCCCAGAGCUGGCCACCACAUCUGGCUGUGCUGCCCCCGUGGCUGCUCCUGCUACUGCAGCCUCCGCCUCUGCCUCCGCCAGCACCCUGGCCUAUGAGAAGACUGUAGAGCUGCCUCGCCGGGAGAUGCCACCCGCCUCAGUCGGCACGUCUGGCGCUGUGCCCCCUAUGCUCCACUACCCUGUAGCUGGGGCUGGGGCCAGCGAGACCCUGGUGACUGCCAGUGGGACUGACCCAGUCUCUGACAAGAAGAAGGAGGAGGAGCACAACUACUCCCUGUUCCUAACCCGAGCCAGGCUGGCCGGGAAAGCCCUCACUGAGGAGGAGGAGGAAGAGGUUGAAGAAGAGGAGGAGGAGGAAGAGGAGGAGGUGGGGGAGGAUGAAGAGGAUGCUGAGGGGGUGGAGCUGGAUGAAGAUCUUGAUGAAGAUCAUGAUGAGGGUUUUGGCAGCGAGCAUGAACUCUCUGAGAAUGAGGAUGAGGAAGAUGAGGAGGACGAUGAUUAUGAGGGGGAUAAAGAUGAUGACAUGAGCGACGCCUUCUCCGAGCCAGGUAGCCAUAUAUCAGGAUGUGACAAUGACGCGGUGGAGGACGUGAAGGGGCUGACGGCAGGGAUCUCCAGGAAGAGGGGCAAACGCCGCUACUUCUGGGAGUACAGCGAGCAGCUCACCCCCUCCAAGCAGGAAUGCUUGCUCAAGCCCUCUGAGUGGGACAGGGAGACCCUGCCCAGCAACAUGUACCAGAGGAAUGGCCCACACCACGGGAAGUACACUCUGAAGAAGUCUCGGCGGACAGAUGUGGAGGACUUGACCCCUAACCCUCGCAAGCUGCUGCAGAUCGGGAACGAGCUGCGUAAGCUCAACAAAGUGAUCAGUGAUCUGACCCCGGUCAGCGAGCUGCCCCUCACAGCCCGCCCACGCUCCCGCAAGGAGAAGAACAAACUGGCAUCCAGGGCCUGUCGACUGAAGAAGAAAGCUCAGUAUGAGGCCAACAAAGUCAAGCUGUGGGGUCUGGGCACAGAAUACGAUCGGCUUCUGUUUGUCAUCAACACCAUAAAGGAAGAAAUAGUGAACAGAGUGCAGGAUAUCUGCGACGACAAGGGAACUAGCAUGGCUGAAACUCUGGACAAACUCAUCCAAGAGACCCUUGUGAAGUCACCAGUUGCCGGGCAGACGUCUGACUUUGUUAACCAGAUCCUAGAGAACACUGGCAAGGGGGAUCCCACUGGUGGACUGGUCGGGCUGCGUGUACCCACGUCUAGAGUGUAGACGGACCAUGUAGAGGUCUGGUGAUGGCAUACUCAAAGCCAUCCGCGCCAUUCUUGUCCCACACUGUAACGGCUCACCCUCUGCAUGACCAUUCCAUCCAGGAAUCGCAUCACCAUGCCCUGUGGAAAGACAUACAUACCACGCUCCAAAUGGAUCUCAUGUACAGAUGAAAAUUGAUGCUGCUUUGCCUCAGACAGUUUUCUCAUCAGUGGAAUGUAGUCUUCCUUCAAAGGAUUCAAUUCAAUAUAAGGAUAUGUUCAUACUCCAGAUGUCCAGUGUAACAUUGGGUGAGAGAGACUAUCCAAAGUGUGCUGCAAUCAUGAUUCAGAGGAAUUUGAACUUGUUUGUAUGGUUGUCCUUAUUUCUGUAAACCUUUUUUAAUUGAUUUUGUAUUUGUGCUCAAAAUCAGUCAAUUGUUGCACACGUUUGAAUUUGAAUAUUUUUUUGCCUUUUCUACUUUGACCUUACCUACUUGCCAUACCAUUUAUUUUAUAUUUCAUUUGAAAUAUUUCCUCUAGCUUACCUAUAGAAAUUAUUUUAGAUAUUCAUACCGCAGCGAGCUCUUGCUGAAUUACAUUUAUCAGACCCAGAGCAUUCACCACAAUGGUGAUUGAUUUAGUUGAGUUUUCUAUAGAACCGGUAGAUCUGCUUUGCAAAAACUGUCAAUUUACCAACCUAUUGUGUCCCCUCAAAAAUGAUCAAGAUAAUUGUGCCUCUUUGGUCCUCAUUUUCUACUGUUCCACAAACGGCUGGGUUUCACUUUACCCGGAGCAGUGUCACAUGUACAAGCAGAUGGCCUUUAGCAGCCUUUCUUCAAUGAACAAACAAGGUUUGAAACAGUAACUCUUAAUGACACAUGUUGAGGUUUGCAUUGUUCAACAUAGAUCUGUUAGCCAUGGAGUUCCAGGAAACAAACCUCUGAUGUCUCUAGUAAUUACGCAGGGGCAGGCGGUGUUUUAAACGUGGCAAAGCCUGUAGAACGCUUAAAGCAAUGGUGGUGGGCAUCUGCACAAAUCCAGGUACCUUGAUUUCGCCAGUUUGCUCCAAAGUGCCACCACAUAGUUCUUCAGAACUUAAGAUUGAAGGGAGCACUAAUUGGAGAGUGAGUUUAAAACAAAACAAUGCAAACAGCUGAUCGGAGCCACCAUUCACCAGCCAUGGUGCUGAAUCUCAAAGACGUACUUGAACUUCCAAGAGCUGCCACUCGGGCCCUGUUGCUGUGUUGGAACGCUGCCUGAGGGGUGUUGCAACUCUUGACCAGUUCCCAGUGAACUUUGGACAGUGACUGACUUCUUUUUAAGACCUGCUGUAGCCACUGCAGUGUCGGUGUCAGUAAGGCCUUGUCCUCAGUAAUGGUGGUUGACGACCGUGUUUUAAAAAAUGUAAUUGAAGUGGAUUGGCUGGUAGCUUUGAUAGGAUUCUUAUUAUUUUUUGCUUCAGGAAAAGGCAUAGAGAUCGGUAAGGGUCACUAGGGCUGCUGGGCAGAGAUCUCUCAUCCCUUCACUGAAGUGUUGGAAUAUGUGUUCCUGCAUAGUACACAUGCAGACCAAUUCAAUGAUUACCAAUGACAUUGAGAAAACAGAUAUAACCCUCUUUCAAAGCACCAUAAACACAUCAUAUUCACACUGCAAUGAUUUACAUUUUCCUUCCAAACUUGCCAAAUUAUUUUUUGGGGAAAUCCAUACAACUCCCAAUGAGGACAAUUUUUUUUAAAGAUAUCUCACCCAUUCUUAAAACUACACAAUUCAUGCCCUUGAUGUAAUGCUUCUGAUGUUGUAUGGUAUUUCAAUAGAUAAUGUAGCAUGGGAACUUUAAGUAGUUAGUACUGUGUGUGUACUCCCCAAGUGAAAAAUAUUUGUCACAGUAGGAAGGCUGUAUUUCAUUGCUAAGUGCUCUGUAAUAAAUCUCUUGGGUGAUACUCAUAAACAAAUCUGUAUCCUGCUGAAACUAACAGUGACUUGAUCCUAUUAGAAAUGUCUAUAUUUGUAGUUCACAUGUAUGCCUGUUCAAAUUCAAUAAUAUCUUGACAGUUCUAUUUAUGUUUAAAUGUUGUGCUGGGUUUAUACUUUUGUCGUUCGAUCUCUUUCUCUUAUUUUUGUUUCCAUUUUUUUUUGGAGGCACAAUUAGUUGGAGAACAGAUAAUGAUCCUUGUAAAUGUACAGAUGUGAUGUAGGUUGGGUUCAGUUAUGAUUGAUUGGAAAAAUGUGUCUGCUUGUGUAAUUGUGCCUCUCCUUCAUUUAGUUGAGUUUUUUUUUUUUAUCAUACUUUUUCUCACAGAAUUGUAUCAGCCAGGAGUUGGUACCACAGUUGUGGCUAGGUGGAGUACAGCUAUGGACUGAAGUGACUUUACGUAGCAGGUUAGGAGAAUUAAUGUAGCAGGUUAAGGUUAGGAAAACUGUAAGGGUUAGCAAAAAUGCUACAGCUGACCCCGAUGCGACUCGAACAUGCAACUUUUGGUCCGUAGCUGUAAUCCAAUCUAGCCACAACGCAAUUUUGCUUGUAACCAUAUUGUCCAAUUCUAUUGUUGAUUUUAAUAUCAAAAUAAAAACCUUUGAAAAACA